GUGGGUAGUUUGACUGGGGCGGUCUCCUCCUAAAGAGUAACGGAGGAGCACGAAGGUUGGCUAAUCCUGGUCGGACAUCAGGAGGUUAGUGCAAUGGCAUAAGCCAGCUUGACUGCGAGCGUGACGGCGCGAGCAGGUGCGAAAGCAGGUCAUAGUGAUCCGGUGGUUCUGAAUGGAAGGGCCAUCGCUCAACGGAUAAAAGGUACUCCGGGGAUAACAGGCUGAUACCGCCCAAGAGUUCAUAUCGACGGCGGUGUUUGGCACCUCGAUGUCGGCUCAUCACAUCCUGGGGCUGAAGUAGGUCCCAAGGGUAUGGCUGUUCGCCAUUUAAAGUGGUACGCGAGCUGGGUUUAGAACGUCGUGAGACAGUUCGGUCCCUAUCUGCCGUGGGCGCUGGAGAACUGAGGGGGGCUGCUCCUAGUACGAGAGGACCGGAGUGGACGCAUCACUGGUGUUCGGGUUGUCAUGCCAAUGGCACUGCCCGGUAGCUAAAUGCGGAAGAGAUAAGUGCUGAAAGCAUCUAAGCACGAAACUUGCCCCGAGAUGAGUUCUCCCUGAGACUUAAAGUCUCCUGAAGGAACGUUGAAGACGACGACGUUGAUAGGCCGGGUGUGUAAGCGCAGCGAUGCGUUGAGCUAACCGGUACUAAUGAACCGUGAGGC
rnacentral:rRNA from 1 species